rnacentral:ncRNA from 1 species
UGAAAGGGGUGCCUUUAUGGCUGAGAUCAGACCCGUUGAACCUGAUGCGGAUAAUGCCGCCGUAGGGAGAC